rnacentral:rRNA from 1 species
GACGUAGGGCGCGAGCGUUGUCCGGAAUUAUUGGGCGUAAAGAGCUCGUAGGCGGUUUGUCGCGUCUGCUGUGAAAACGCGAGGCUCAACCUCGCGCCUGCAGUGGGUACGGGCAGACUAGAGUGCGGUAGGGGAGAUUGGAAUUCCUGGUGUAGCGGUGGAAUGCGCAGAUAUCAGGAAGAACACCCGUGGCGAAGGCGGCUCUCUGGGGCGGUACUGACGCUGAGACGCGAAAGCGUGGGGAGCGAACAGG